rnacentral:rRNA from 1 species
UGGCGGAUGCCUUGGCUCUCGGAGGCGAUGAAGGACGUGAUAAGCUGCGAUAAGCUUUGGGGAGGUGCAAAUGACCUUUGAUCCAGAGAUUUCCGAAUGGGACAACCCAAUAUCUUGAAGAGGUAUUAUCCAACGUUGUUGGAGGCUAACGCAGGGAACUGAAACAUCUUAGUACCUGCAGGAAAAGAAAAUAAACAAUGAUUCCCCCAGUAGUGGCGAGCGAACGGGGAACAGCCCAAACCAUCCAUGUUACGGCAUGUGUGGGGUUGUAGGACUACGCCGUUGCAUGAAGACAUCAGAGAAGAACUUUCUGGAAAGAAAGACCAUAGAGCAUGACAGUUGCGUAUUCGAAUGUUGUCGAAGCAUAGUAGUAUCCUGAGUAGCGCGGAGCACGAGGAAUUCUGCGUGAAUCUGCCGGGACCAUCCGGUAAGGCUAAAUACUCCCGAGAGACCGAUAGCGAACCAGUACCGUGAGGGAAAGGUGAAAAGCACUUCGAACAGAAGAGUGAAAUAGUUCCUGAAACCGUGCGCCUACAAGCGGUCGGAGCUCGUUAAUGAGUGACGGCGUGCCUUUUGCAUAAUGAACCUACGAGUUGCCUUUGCCGGCAAGGUUAAGUGUGACGACACACGUAUCCGAAGCGAAAGCGAGUCUGAAGAGGGCGUAUAGUCGGCAGUGGCAGACGCGAAACCAAGUGAUCUACCCUUGGCCAGGUUGAAGGCUGGGUAACACCAGCUGGAGGACCGCACCAAUAAGCGUUGAAAAGCUUCUGGAUGAGCUGAGGGUAGGGGUGAAAGGCUAAUCAAACUUGGAGAUAGCUCGUACUCCCCGAAAUGCAUUUAGGUGCAGCCUUUAUUUAGUAUAGCAUGAGGUAGAGCGACUGAUUGGAUGCGAGGGCUUCACCGCCUAUCAAGUCCAGAUAAACUCCGAAUGCGUGCUAUAUAUUGAUAAGGAGUGAGGGCGCGGGUGCUAAGGUCCGCGUCCGAGAGGAGAAGAAUCCAGACCAUCAGCUAAGGUCCCCAAAUAACAGUUAAGUUGAACUAACGAAGUCGGACUGCAGAGACAGCUAGGAUGUUGGCUUGGAAGCAGCCAUUCAUUUAAAGAGUGCGUAACAGCUCACUAGUCGAGGAGUCGGGCGUGGAUAAUAAUCGGGUAUUAAGUUGUCUACCGAAGCAGUGGGAUCAUUUAUAUGAUCGGUAGGGGAGCAUUCCAGUCAGCGUCGAAGGCGUACCGUGAGGUAUUCUGGAGCGUCUGGAAAAGCAAAUGUAGGUAUAAGUAACGAUAAAGGGGGCGGGAAACCCCCUCGCCGAAAGACUAAGGUUUCCUGAUCAACGCUAAUCGGAUCAGGGUCAGUCGGGUCCUAAGGCUCAGCCGAACGGCGAUGCCGAUGGCAGAAACGGUUAAUAUUCCGUUACUACCUUCAGGAGUGACGUGGAGACGCAGUAGUGACAGUGCCGCCAUCUGACGGAAUAGAUGGUUGAAGGGUGUAGGAGUCGAUCAUGGCAGGCAAAUCCACCAUGAGAUCCGAACCUGAGAGUAUGCCGCGUCCUUCGGGACAAGGCAAUAGUGCGCGUAAGCAUGCUGCCGAGAAAAUCCGCUAAACUUAAUCCUGCAGGUACCCGUACCGCAAACGGACACACGUAGUCGGGAUGAAUAUUCUAAGGCGCUUGAGUGAUUCACGGUUAAGGAACUAGGCAAACUGACCCUGUAACUUCGGGAUAAAGGGUCCCUACCCUUUUAUGGGAGGGCGCAGAGAAUCGGUCCAGGCAACUGUUUAACAAAAACACAGGGCUGUGCGAAGUCGAAAGACGCUGUAUACAGCCUGACACCUGCCCGGUGCUGGAAGGUUAAGAGGAGAUGUCAUCGCAAGAGAAGCAUUGAAUUGAAGCCCCAGUAAACGGCGGCCGUAACAAUAACGGUCCUAAGGUAGCGAAAUUCCUUGUCGGGUAAGUUCCGACCUGCACGAA